GUUAACCAAUGUUCACUUUCCACAUUUUUUGUGUUUGUUAUUGAGGGGACACGGGUCCCUAUCAAAAGGCUGUAGAUAACGUUAUAGAAAGAGGUAGUUGGGUAGCGAGGGAGGGUUUGGCUGAUGAGCGGACGACUUUUUGUUAUGGAGUUGAUGAAAAUAAUGAAGCACAGGCACGGAGUUUUAUAAAAGGUGUGAAAUUUUGUAGAAAAAGUAGUUUGCUGACAAGCUCUUCUGGGUUAGAAGUGGAAGUAGUGAAAGACACGAGUAGAAAAAAGACGCGAGGAUAGUCAGAGGUGGCGGGGAGAAGUGCAUGCAAAAGGAGGGAAAGGGAGAGGAAUGAGACAGAGCACUGGAGCCGUAAGAAUGAGAGAAGAGAAGGCGACUUGAAAGAGAAAAAGGCCUAAAUGAAAACGCCACAUUAGCUUUUUACUUGGCUUUUUAAUUGCAAAACCGACUAUCAAACGUUAAAAAGAAAUUAAAGUCGGGAGUUCUAUAAUAAAUAAAUUGAAAUUUAAAGAACACAGUACUAUUUUGCGACGACGAAUUUACCCCCGCAAUUGAGGACGCAAGUAACGGGCUAAUGCAAUUGAAGAUAAUGCCCAACCCAACAAUCGUUUCAAUUAUUACAUCCCUCUAUGAGCGUACGUCCUUGCAAUUUUUGAAUCAGAAGCAUCUUCAAAUUGAUAUGGCAGAUAAAAAGAGGGCUUCUGAUGGUUCUCUAAGACCAUCCUGUACAUUAAUCCUCUGUGCAUCUAAUUUUUCCUGUGGUUAUAGACAAAAUAAAGCUUCCCACAAGAGAAGAAACUUCUAGUCACCAACUCCCAGAGGUAUAAUUUUUCAUCAUAACACAUUCUCGACCAGCAUUCAGGAAAAAUAAUUAAACAGCCUUAAAUUGAUUUCCCCAGUAAAUCGUCAUCUUAACUGAUUUCAUUCCACCAAAGAAUAAUCCUAGAGGGAUGUGCAGAGAACUACCCCAUUCGAGACAUCUUCAGUUCCCGUCAACUCCUUACUGAUUCAGAGUUUAUAUGACCACUAUUCCCUGAAUGUGCAUUCAAUCCAGUAAUAGGAUUGCGUUGCUGCCCAAAAUGUCUUAAAAGCUCCAUCUGGCGUUCAUUAGUAUGAGGAAGGCAUGCACGUAAAAGUUCCACAGGCAUUUCACUUUUUGUAGCUUUACGUACCUCUAAAUCAAUAUCUUCUGCGUUAGGUGGGUUCUUUGCAUAAAGUGACUGCAGUAUUGUGUCAUAUUUAAUCAGGCAAUACUUGGUAAGAAGAUCAAAAAAUUCAUCAAAUGAUGCCUGCCAGAGAGUAAAAUUAGGUACACCACAGUUGGCUGCUGCCUGGGGAUCAUUUAAUAGUUUACUUGCCUUCUCAAGAAGACACUUCAAAAUAACAGAGGCACCAUCUCCAGCAGGACUACCAAGAGGUCUAAAUGGUGGCUGCUCUGAAGAACAAACAACUGCAACAAGGCAAGCACUCAGUGCAUGUAGAUCCAUGCUGUUAACACAUGCUGAAACCGUUUUCACAAGAUUCAUAGUUGUCCCAGCUGCUCCUGUAUCAGAAGGAAUGCUACCAAACAAAAACCUCAAGUGACGGAAAAUAGCCAUACAGACAAUUCGGGUGAGUUUGCUACCAGGUAAAAGAAGCUGAAGGAACUUAGAGAUGAGCUUUCGACCCUUAGGAAGAGAAACUAUCCGCAGGAAUACAAUGUCGUCCUUGGAUGCCAGUCCAACCGUGUUGCCACUUUGGCCAAGUGGGUCAACAAGCUGAAGGGACGCUGCUAAUCCUUCAAGCACAAUCUGACGCUUAUACCUGAGCUGAGCCCCACCAUCCUGGGGAUGAUUGAAUUGUAGAAACCGAUCAAUAUCCUCCACAUCAAGAAGAAGGCAUAGUGCAUCUUCAACAGCAAUUCUAGCUGCAAGCAUAGGUUCUUGUUCCAAAGACCUCUCAGAUAUUUGUUCAGAGUUUCUGUCAACAGCACCAGGAGGAGGAUCAACAUCAAGAAGAGGCUGUAGCCUACGUAUGGAAGGGAAGGGAAUCUUCCCAAGGGCAUUAACAUGUAUAUGAGACUGUUGGUCUGUGCUGUUACGACCUCGAGAAGGGUGAUCCUUCAGAUGAGAUGGGCAAAAAUGUUGUUUUGCUCUGGCUACUGCAGACCUUUUGGCAAGACGAGCUUGAUGGUAAUAAUCAUCUAUGUAUGGGUCACUGUUAUGCGUGGAAGCAUGCUGCAUUUUCAGAAUACUUUCUAUCUCUUCAGCCGUCAUGUACUUGGAUCUAAAUUGCAAACAACUACUAUCACUUUUCUGACUGCUAGCAUCAGAACUUUGUUGAGAAAGACGCGUAUUCUGUCUGCCCUUUUGUGAUUUGUGUUUUUGAUCUGAUAAUCCAAAGAACAUUUUAUGUGCUGAUGAAGGAUGAGCAUUAUAGAGGUGGGAUUGCACUGCUGCAAAAUGAGACAAGGAUGGCUGAACUGGACUCUGCAGUCUCUGCUGCUGUGGUGAUAUCAGCUGCGCAGACAUUAGGCCAUUUUGAUGGGAUAAUUGCUGCUGCAACAUGCUCUGUAAGAGGCUAGAGUGAUCUACUUGCAAUAAACCAGCAUUGUUAACCCAAUGAUUUUGCGACCUGCUAUUAAAAGAAUGGCCAGGAGAGGUGAUCGUGGGCAUAUUUCCAUGGUAGCGUAACCCAUGAUGCAUGCUAGCCAGAUGAAGACUAGAGUUGGACAAAGGAGAGAGGUUUGGAGCAGAGAAGGUCUGUGGUCCAAUAGUAAGAGAGGGAUUAUUCAGGUAAUCAUGUGAAGCCUGCUGAUUUCUGCCACCUGGAGGAGGGAAAGAUGUGAAAUUUGAUUUGGGUACAAGAAUUGGUUCACUUGAGAAGCGAUGCAACUGCGGUUGCUGCUGGGGGUAUGAGGAAGUUCUGUGCAGAAGUUUUGAUUCUGAGAAACAAGCAGAUGACGAUUGAGGCUGUGAUGACCAUCUCUUGCCUUCCUGAGCAUUUUCAAUAUCAAACAUUUGCUGAUCUAACCAGCUUGCAAGUUCUUCAUCUGCUGCCCAAUCAGUUGCAGAUGAACUUUCCCUUGAAAAGGAUGAAGAUCCUCUAUCACCAAUAACUCCAACAUUUCUUGGUCCAGUGACAACUCUGUUCAACUUUGCAAACGUACUUGCCAGAUCAUCCAUGUCUGAUAAACAUUCUAAGCCUACAUCCUUUUCCAUAACUCCAAAAGAUCCGCUCCUGAUUUGAGAUCCGAUAUGCCUUCCUAGUGGAUGACAGAGCUUGAAAAAAAUAUUGGGAAUUUAGGGUUAGGAAGUAGAAAAUUAGGACUUCAAGAUAUCGAAGACAAAAUAAGGAUCGGAUUGAAUGAUCUGUAGGGUACAGCCCGCUCCUUUAGCUAGAAUCAGAGGAACAUGCUGCAGGAAUUUCUGGGCAGAGACCUAAAAGUGGGACUUAAGAAGCAAGAGAAGGUUUUUGUUCUCGGAGAAAUGAUUGUAUGUCUCCAUCGGUCCAUCCAUAUACACACCAAAG
rnacentral:misc_RNA from 1 species